AUUUAUAAUCUGGCACCUUCGGUGUCCGAGUUGUAAUCUCUAGAAGUGUUUUCCGCGUUGGACCGCACACAAGUCUGUUGGAAUACAGCGGCAUAGUGGUGAAACCCCCGUAUAUGGUGCGGACGCCCAGCGCUUUGUGAUACACUUUCAAUGAGUCGAGUUGUUUGGGAAUGCAGCUCAAAUUGGGUGGUAAAUUCCAUCUAAAGCUAAAUAUUGGCGAGAGACCGAUAGCGAACAAGUACCGUGAGGGAAAGAUGAAAAGCACUUUGGAAAGAGAGUUAACAGUACGUGAAAUUGUUGGAAGGGAAACGCUUGAAGUCAGACUUGCUUGCCGGAGCUUGCUUCGGUUUGCAGGCCAGCAUCAGUUUUCCGGGGUGGAUAAUGACGGUUUGAAGGUAGCAGUCUCGGCUGUGUUAUAGCUUUCCGUUGGAUACAUCCUGGGGGACUGAGGAACGCAGCGUGCUUUUUGCGAAAGACUCGUCUUUUUCACGCUUAGGAUGCUGGUGGAAUGGCUUUAAACGACCCGUC
rnacentral:rRNA from 1 species